UCCAGAUUUUUUUUUCUAAGGUCUUCAAGGCCUGAAAAGAUAGUAUACGAUAUUCCAAAAGGAGAAUUUUGCUCCAUGUAAAAACUGUCCUGCUCAUUGUUCAUCCCAAGGUCUUUAAGGCCAUAGAAGAGAUUACAUAUGAGAUGAUAAAGUAUGAUUUGCUUCAUGCAAACAAUCACCAGCUUUUAUGUCUCCAUACUAGGUCUUCAAGGCCUUAAAAGAGACUAUUUCAUGUGAACAAAGGGAGAAAUUUGCUUCAUGCAGAUAGACUUCCUGUGCAUUACUCCACCUCUGGCCUUCAAGGCCUUGAAAUUGAGAGUGAACAGAGAAAUCUGAGGUGCAGAAGGAGACAUUUGAUUCAUGCAAACAGGUUCCAGCUUAUAUGUCUCUAUACUAGGUCUUCAAGGCCUUAAAAGAGAGUAUUUUAGCUGAGAAGGGGGAGAAGUUUGCUUCAUGCAGAUAGACUUCCUGGGCAUUCCUCCACCUUAGGCCUUCAAGGCCAUUUAAUUGAGAAUGAACAGAGAAUAUCUGAGAUGCCAAAGGAGAAAUUUGCUACAUGCAAGCCAUGUCCAGCUUUUAUUUCUCUACCUCAGGUCUCCAAGGCCAGUAAAGAGAUUAUUUGAGGUGAAAAAGGAGAAAUGUGCUUCGUACAAAGCAUCUGCAGCUUUGAUAUCUCUUCUGAAGGUCUUUAAGGCCUCCAAAGAGAAUAUUUGAGGCGGAAAGGGAGAAAUUUGCUUCAUGCAUACAAUCUCCAGCUUUUAGGCCUUUUUCUAAGGUGUUCAAGGCCCUGAAAGAGAACAGUUGCGGUGAAAAUAGAGAAAUGUACUUUAUGCAUACAGUCUCCAAGGUCUUCAAGGCCUCAAAAGAAAAUGUUUGGGGGCUUAAAAGGAAACAAUCACCAGCUUUUACUUCUUUCUCUAAGGUGUUCAAGGCCGUAAAAAAGAACAUUCGCAGUGAAAAAGGAGAAAUUUGCUUCCUAUAGACAAUCUCCAUGUUUUAUUUCUCCAAGGUCUUCAAGGCCGCAAACGAAACCGUUUGGGACUUCAAAAGAGAAAUUGGCUUCAUGAAAACCAUCUCCCGCUUUCAUUUCUCUACUAACGUACGGUCUUCACGACCCACAAACAGAAUAUUUAUCUCAGAAAAGGACAAGGUUUCUUCAUGCAGACAAUCUCCUGCUUCUGUGUCUCCUAAGGGCCAGAAAAGGCAAUAUAUGGGGUUAAAAGGGGAGAAAUUUGCUUCAUGCAAACACUUUCCUACUGAUCCCUCUAAGGUCAUCAAGACCUGAAGAGAAAAUGUAUGAACUGAUAAAGGAGACAUUGGUUUCAUGCAUAAAUAUCAACUCUUGUGCAUUAGUCCAUUUCAGGUCUUCAAGGCCUUUGAAUAAAGAGUGGAUAGAGAAAAUCUCAUAUGAAAAAUGUGGGAUUUGCUUCAUGUACACUAUCUCCUGCUUUGAUGUCUUUACCCUGAGGUCUUCAAGGCCAGAAAAGAGAAUAUUUGGGUUGAAAAAGAUAAAUUUGCUUCAUUUGGACAAAUUUCCUUUGCGUUAUGCCACCUCUCGUUUUAAGGCGUUUUCAGUUGAGAAGGAAUGCAGACUAUCCAGUGAGCAAGAGAAAUAAUUUUCCUUCAUGGAAAAAAGAAAUCCACUUAUUUCUCUACCUACUGUUUUCAGGGCCUGGAAAGAGAAUACACAUGAGCUGGAAAAGGAGACGUUUUACUUCAUGCCAAAAAUGUUACCGUUUGGUACUCCACCUAAGGCCUUCAAGGCCUUUAGUUGAGAAUUUAGAGAGAACAUGCAAGGUGGAAAAGGAGAAAUGUACUCCAUGCAAACAGUGUCCUGCUUUUCAAGGCAUGAGGAGAGAAUGUAGGAGAUUGAAAAAGAAGCAGUUGGAUGUAUCCAACAAGUCACCUGAUCAUUUUUCUACCUUAGGGUCUUCAAGGCCUGAAGAGAAAAUAUACGAACUGGAAAACGAGAAAUGUGUUUCCGUACAGACACAUCUCCUGUGCAUUAGUUCACCUCAGGCCUUCAAGGUCUUUUUAUUGAGAGUGGGUCAAGAUUAAUUGAGGUGAAAAAGGAGAAGUGUACUUCAUGCAAACAACCUACUGCUUUUAUUUCUCUACGCAGGUCUUCAAGGCCUGAAAAGAGAAUACCUGAAGUGGGGAAAGAGAAAUUUGCUCUAUGCAAAAAACUUUCCCAUCGGUGAGUCCACAUGCGAUCUGCAAGGCCUAAAGAGAAAAGAUAGGAGCUGGAAAAGGAUAAAUUUUCUUCACACACAAAUGUCUCCCGAAUGUAAAUCUACCUUGCAGCCUUCAAGGCCUUUCGAUAGAGAAUGAUUAAGGUAUUCUUGAGGUGGAAAAGGAGAAAUUUGCUUCAUGCAAAAAAACCUCCUGCUUUUCUCUACCUAAGGUCUUCAAGGCCUGAAAAGAGAAUAUUUGAGGUAGAAAAGGGGAAAUUUGCUUCAUGCGAAACAUCUCCACGCUUGAAUUUCUCUAACGUAAACUCCUGUAAGACCGGCCUAGAAAAUAUAGAUGUGGGAAAGGAGUUAUUUGCUUUAUGCAAGAAAAAGAAAAUCUCCUGCUUAUUUCUCUACCCGUAGCCACCACAGCCUGCAAAGAGAACAUUUGAGGAGUUAAAGGAGAUAUGAUUCACAUGCUAAUUUCAUCUUUUUUUUAACCUCAUCCUUCAAGUCCUGUAUCUUGUGACAGAGAAAACAUACUAUUCUUGGCGUGAAAAGGAGAAAUUUUCUUCCUGCCAAAUUAUCCCCUUUAUUUUGCCACCAAAGGCUUUGCCUUCCAUAGCCUUUCAAUUAGGAGAGAAAAGAAAAUAUUUGGGACUAAAGAAAAGGGCAAAGGUUUUAUCAUGCCAACAAACAUCCUCCUUCUCACAUCACCUCAGGCCUUUAAGGCCCUUCAGUUGAGAGUUGAGAUGACAAAGGAGGAAUGUGCUUCUUGCCAGUCAAUCUGCCAUGUAUUUUUCCACCUUAGGUCUUCAAGGCCUUUUACUAGAUGGUGGAGACGGACUAACUGGAUUUCAAAACAGAGAGACUAGAUCCAUGCACAUUCUAACUGGCUCCAUGCAGAUAGCUAACUGUGUGUCCUCCUGAGCUGUCUUCAGGCUCCACCCCUGGUCUUUAUGGCUUGGGCUGUUGCAGAGAGCACAGAGGUAGGAAUGUAGGUGAAGAGCUUCAUGCUAAUCCCCAACCCCGUAAUCCCUGAAAGGGUUUUCACUUUGUCCUUCCACUCUGCCUGCUCUUCCCUCGCAACCUUGGACCAAGUCAACAAACCACUCUGUGGCACCUAACCAGAUUCAGCGUCCUAAGAGCUGAGAUGGUUUAGUGUGGAAAUGAUGGAGAAUGAAACAGGGCCAGCUAGCACUACUCAAGAAAAGCUCCAUUUCUUCCAUCGAGUGUUCACCUCUAGAAGAGUAGAGAAUGAAGGAAAAUCCAAUGAUCGUUGGGUUUGGAGAAAAUCCGGCUACCGGUUAAGAGAAAACUGUUCUGGACCUGAGGUUCAGUCUGGAUCCUCUGGUCCAGGAUGUUAGAGGGUGAUAAAAGAAAAUUUGAGGUGGAGGAGGAGGGGUUUUGCAUCAGCCAAAUUCUUGCAAAACUUAACUUCAUGCAAAACAGCCUCACCUCAGCUGAUCUCUUGUCUUGGGUCUUCAAGGCCCUUGAGGGAGUAGGGAGAAAGUAGCUUUAGGCAAAAAGCUCCCCUUUGGUACAUCGACUCCCGUCCUGGCUACUCUGGCCUUUGUGGUGGGUGGUUGGGAAGGGGGGAAAUCCCCAAAGAAUCUGUACAGGGGCAAACGGGAGAUUCUCUUCAUGCAGAAUCUCCUGAAAAACAUGGUCCAGCUAUGCAAGAAAUCCCCAUUUGGCCUUUAUGGCUGCACUUCUGGACCAAGAAAUUAUCCUCAUAAAUGGCCUGGGAUAUUUCUCUUGUGAGCCUUCUGGGUUUCAGAGAGGUUAGAGCUGAACCCAUUUGACCUUAGAGCCUCAUUUUCCAUGUUCGGAAACUGUCCAGUUUGAUAGGGAAAUACCUUUCAAAAUUCUAUAGUGUUAUGUCAGGAUUACAAUUUCAAACGUGCAUGACAAAAGCACAACAGAGAGAACUCCUUGUCCUCCUCUAAGUCCUGAUUGACCAACUCAGUGUUCAAUGGAAUGUUAUGUUUCUCUCACUCAAAAGAUAUUAAACUACUAAAAGACUUAUGCAGUCCAUCACACCAGCAUUUCAAAUGUCAAUAAAAUAGCCAAAUAUAAUAAAAAUAAACAUAAAACACAACUAAA